CCUACGGGGGGCUGCAGUAAGGAAUAUUGGUCAAUGGAGGAACCUCUGAACCAGCCAUCCCGCGUGAAGGAUGAAGGGGCUCUGCCUUGUAAACUUCUUUUGUCUGGGGCGAAAAAGCUCGAUUUAUCGAGAACUGACGUUACCAGAAGAAUAAGCACCGGCUAACUCCGUGCCAGCCGCCGCGGUAAUACGGAGGGUGCAAGCGUUAUCCGGAAUCACUGGGGUGAAGGGGUGCGAAGGAGGCAGUGGUGAAAGGCUGUGGCUUAACCAUGGAAUUGCCAUUGAUACUGCAGAGCUUGAAUGAGGUUGAGGUUGGCGGAAUGUGACAUGUAGCGGUGAAAUGCUUAGAUAUGUCAUGGAACACCGAUUGCGAAGGCAGCUGACUGGACCUAUAUUGACGCUGAGGCACGAAAGCGUGGGGAGGGAACAGGAUUAGAUACCCCUGUAGUC
rnacentral:rRNA from 1 species